UACGUAGGGUGCAAGCGUUGUCCGGAAUUAUUGGGCGUAAAGAGCUCGUAGGCGGUCUGUCACGUCGGCUGUGAAAACCUGGGGCUCAACUCCGGGCCUGCAGCCGAUACGGGCAGACUAGAGUUCGGCAGGGGAGACUGGAAUUCCUGGUGUAGCGGUGAAAUGCGCAGAUAUCAGGAGGAACACCGGUGGCGAAGGCGGAUCUCUGGGCCGAUACUGACGCUGAGGAGCGAAAGCGUGGGGAGCGAACAGG
rnacentral:rRNA from 1 species